GACGUAGGGCGCGAGCGUUGUCCGGAUUUAUUGGGCGUAAAGAGCUCGUAGGCGGCUUGUUAAGUUCCGUGUGAAAUCCCCAGGCUUAACCUGGGAAGUGCGCGGAAAACUGGCGAGCUUGAGUGCCGGAGAGGGUCGCGGAAUUCCCGGUGUAGAGGUGAAAUUCGUAGAUAUCGGGAGGAACACCAGUGGCGAAGGCGGCGACCUGGACGGACACUGACGCUGAGACGCGAAAGCGUGGGGAGCAAACAGGG
rnacentral:rRNA from 1 species